CGCGGCAGCUAGCUCUCUGCAACUCUCACAUGGAGAGAGCUAAGCAGGCUAAGCAGGGCUGUGCCCGGUCAGUACCUAAAUGGGAGACCACAUGGGAAAGCUAGGUUGCUGCCGGAA
ensembl:rRNA 5S_rRNA 5S ribosomal RNA